GUGCCAGCGCCGCGGUAACACCGGCAGCCCAAGUGAUGGCCGAUAUUAUUGGGCCUAAAGCGUCCGUAGCUGGCCGCGCAAGUUCGUCGGGAAAUCCACUCGCUUAACGAGUGGGCGUCCGGCGAAAACUGUGCGGCUUGGGACCGGAAGAUCCAAGGGGUACGUCCGGGGUAGGAGUGAAAUCCUGUAAUCCUGGACGGACCGCCGGUGGCGAAAGCGCCUCGGGAGGACGGACCCGACGGUGAGGGACGAAAGCCAGGGUCUCGAACCGGAUUAGAAACCCGUGUAGUCC
rnacentral:rRNA from 1 species